UACGUAGGGGCCUAGCGUUGUCCGGAAUUAUUGGGCGUAAAGAGCUCGUAGGCGGUUCGGCAAGUCGGAUGUGAAAUCUCCACGCUUAACGUGGAGGGGCCAUUCGAAACUGCUGUGACUCGAGUCCGGUAGGGGAGUGUGGAAUUCCCGGUGUAGCGGUGAAAUGCGCAGAUAUCGGGAGGAACACCAAUGGCGAAGGCAGCUCGCUGGGACGUUACUGACGCUGAGACGCGAAAGCGUGGGGAGCAAACAGG
rnacentral:rRNA from 1 species